GAUGAAGAACGCAGUGAAAUGCGAUACGUAAUGUGAAUUGCAGAAUUCAGUGAAUCAUCGAGUCUUUGAACGCACAUUGCGCCUUCUAGUAUUCUGGAGGCAUGCCUGUUUGAGCGUCAUUAAACCUCUCUCAAGUAUGAUUACUUGGAUGUGAAGGAAGAGUACCUUAAACUUAAGGAGUGUUCUCCUUUGAAAUUGAUUAGCAGAUGGUAAUGUUAUUAAAUCCUUGAUGUUGUAAGAAAUAACAGUGGUUUUGUAGACUAUUAUCUAGCUUUAAAUUAUAAUUUUUAUUAUGGUUGACCUCAAAUCAGGUAAGGAUACCCGCUGAACUUAAGCAUAUCAAUAAGCGGAGGA
rnacentral:misc_RNA from 1 species